GUGUUAGUUCACUAACACAUAUACUAAAAUUGGAACGAUACAGAGAAGAUUAGCAUGGCCCCUGGCGCAAGGAUGACACGCACAAUCGUGAAGCGUUACCAAUUUUU